rnacentral:lncRNA from 1 species
UCUUGCUCUUUUGGUUUUCAUUUUUGAUGCGUUUUGUUCCAGACACUUUUGUUUUUGCUUCACCCUCCUGGGAACUGUUAUCCUGUUUUCGAGGUUUCACUGGAGGCAGUGGCUUAUCUUCCUCUCCUUUAAUAAAUCUUUCAUACGGCAGGAUUAAUCUUUCAUAAUGUCUGCGAGUACAUGUAGCAGCACUUGUGCUUCCAGGGUUACCACCUAAUUCAUCAUAAAUAUGUUUCCAUUGUCGACGGGCUGUUAUUGUUUCAUAUCC